CCCUUAGAUGUCCUGGGCCGCACGCGCGUUACACUGAUGCAUCCAACGAGCUUAUAACCUUGGCCGAGAGGCCUGGGCAAUCUUGUUAACGUGCAUCGUGAUGGGGAUAGAUUAUUGAAAUUAUUAAUCUUGAACGAGGAAUUCCUAGUAAACGCAGAUCAUCAAUCUGCAUUGAUUACGUCCCUGUCCUUUGUACACACCGCCCGUCGCACCUACCGAUUGGAUGGUCCGGUGAAGCCUCGGGAUUGUGGUCCUUGCCGCUUUAUUGUGGCGUGACCGCGAGAACUUGUCUAAACCUUAUCAUCUAGAGGAAGGUGAAGUCGUAACA
rnacentral:rRNA from 1 species